rnacentral:sRNA from 1 species
AUCGCAAGCAAGCCGAACUCACAAGGCAUUCGGGGGCGGGGACGGGGGACCCAAUUGCGGUCUCUUCCCGCGUUCCGCUUCAUGGCGGAUCGCACCCGGGGAGAAACCUUGGGGUGAAGCCGCCAACCAGCGGCCGGGCAAGCCCUUCCGCCCGAACCCGACAGCUAACCUCGCAGGCGUGCCGGAGGGAACUC